rnacentral:rRNA from 1 species
CUCAACCUACGGGGCGCAGCAGUCGGGAAUAUUGCGCAAUGGAGGAAACUCUGACGCAGUGACGCCGCGUAUAGGAAGAAGGUUUUCGGAUUGUAAACUAUUGUCGUUAGGGAAGAAAAAAGACAGUACCUAAGGAGGAAGCUCCGGCUAACUACGUGACAACAGCAGCGGUAAUACGUAGGGAGCAAGCGUUAUCAGGAAUUAUUGGGUGUAAAGGGUGCGUAGACGGGAGUCUAAGUUAGUUGUGAA